CCUACGGGAGGCAGCAGUGAGGAAUAUUGGACAAUGGGCGCAAGCCUGAUCCAGCCAUGCCGCGUGCAGGAUGACGGUCCUAUGGAUUGUAAACUGCUUUUAUACGAGAAGAAACACCCCUACGUGUAGGGACUUGACGGUAUCGUAAGAAUAAGGAUCGGCUAACUCCGUGCCAGCAGCCGCGGUAAUACGGAGGAUCCAAGCGUUAUCCGGAAUCAUUGGGUUUAAAGGGUCCGUAGGCGGUUUAGUAAGUCAGUGGUGAAAUCUCCCCGCUCAACGGGGAAACGGCCAUUGAUACUGCUAGACUUGAAUUAUUAGGAAGUAACUAGAAUAUGUAGUGUAGCGGUGAAAUGCUUAGAGAUUACAUGGAAUACCAAUUGCGAAGGCAGGUUACUACUAAUGGAUUGACGCUGAUGGACGAAAGCGUGGGUAGCGAACAGGAUUAGAUACCCUGGUAGUCCACGCCGUAAACGAUGGAUACUAGCUGUUGGGUGCAAACUCAGUGGCUAAGCGAAAGUGAUAAGUAUCCCACUGGGGAGUACGUUCGCAAGAAGUAGAAUUAUAAUUAGAGUGNGNGNGNGAGNGCGAGAGACGACGAGGGAGAGG
rnacentral:rRNA from 1 species